GCGUGCAGGAGGGAGGACGGAGUCCGCCGCCAAGUCUGCAGGGGAGCAGCUGGGAGGAAGAGGGGCCGUGCUGCUGAGAUGGGGUUCAGUGGUUUGAGCAGCAGACGCUGCGGCGGCGGGUGAAGCGCUCCUGGGUGGCGCCCAUGGACCCCUGGUUCUCCAAGCAGUGGUACAUGGUGAGCGGGCGGCAGGCGGGGGCACUGCGG
rnacentral:lncRNA from 1 species